rnacentral:rRNA from 1 species
AGAGCGAACGCUGGCGGCAGGCUUAACACAUGCAAGUCGAGCGGGCGUAGCAAUACGUCAGCGGCAGACGGGUGAGUAACGCGUGGGAACAUACCUUUUGGUUCGGAACAACCCAGGGAAACUUGGGCUAAUACCGGAUAAGCCCUUACGGGGAAAGAUUUAUCGCCGAAAGAUUGGCCCGCGUCUGAUUAGCUAGUUGGUGAGGUAACGGCUCACCAAGGCGACGAUCAGUAGCUGGUCUGAGAGGAUGAUCAGCCACAUUGGGACUGAGACACGGCCCAAACUCCUACGGGAGGCAGCAGUGGGGAAUAUUGGACAAUGGGCGCAAGCCUGAUCCAGCCAUGCCGCGUGAGUGAUGAAGGCCCUAGGGUUGUAAAGCUCUUUUGUGCGGGAAGAUAAUGACGGUACCGCAAGAAUAAGCCCGGCUAACUUCGUGCCUAGCAGCCGC